AUUUUCCAGGCUAACAAACUUGGACUAUUCACCUGUAAAAUAAUUUUUUUUUCCUUCCAAGAUAGUUUACCUGUAAUAGCUAAUACUCAUAUGCCCUGGUGCUGUGUUUGUCCAAGCUCUUUUCCAUGAUCCCUGCUGCAGCUCUUCUGAUUUUCCCUAAUGUGGGUUACCACCAGCUGCCAUCCACCUGAUGGCAUUACUUCAGUCUGAGGAAAGAUGGAGAACUUUCCAUGAGUGCAAACUUUCCACCUGCAGGAGAAGAGCUGCGGAUGAGAACUCGGAGUGCUCCAGAGAAGUCUGGAAUCCUGUAGGUAUAAGCUCAGCAUCACCACCAGCCCCCAGCCAGCCAUAGCCAAGGUGAAACCAUCACGCUGACUUUGCAAAGGGGGAAGAGGACAGAUUCAGGUCACAAACGUAAGUGGCUCAUGUAAAGUUUUCUUUCUCAAGACUCCUGCCUUAUGCCACAGGGUUCCCCAAGGAAAAGUCCCAGGGAACACUUGUUCUCUGGGGUUAGGCUGGGAAACUGAGCAGGGAAGCCAAGCGGAUGAGUGAUUUCCCAAAAGUGUCAGCCAAGGCUCUACACUCCAGAAGAAGGCAGGGUCUCUUCUGGAGGUGAGACACUCAAGCAGUUGCAUCAGCUGGGUCCCAGGCUGCUGAGUAAGGAUGGUCCUGGUAGGAAAUGGGCUGUGCUGGGAAACAUCACAGAAGGACCUGACAACCCAAACCCCUCUGGAUAUCUACGCCUUGCAGCUCUCCUUCCUGCUUACAUUUGGGAUGUAGAUUUUACAUGCAAGACUCAUCUCUCAUAAAACCAGGGGAAGAGCAGGUAUUUAGCUCUGCCUUGUAGUCUGGUUUUGCUAAUUUACUAUUAAUCUUGUUUUAUAGGUAGGCAAUGACUUUUAUUUUCUCAUUGGUGUGGUUAUUUCAUGGCUGAAGAAAGAGCAGAAUUGUGUAUGUAGUACUGGAUAAAGAAGGAGCCCCUCAUGCUCAAGGCCCUGACGAUGUAAAACUUACUCAGAAAACUCCUCUGUUCACAUAAAAUACAGGAGGCUUUAAUAAAAAAGUCUCAGGUUUCCCUUUUAAAAAUUCAGAGUCUCUUAAACCAAGAAAAAUGCAUCCAUGGGAAGGGAGUGCCAGUAACAACAGGCCUGCUCUCACAUCCACAGGAAAAAGAGAAACAAGUAGCAGUUUCCCCUGAGGGAAGAGUGAUUCUGGAAGUUAAACAGAAAUGUUUAUGGUUGUGAAGAGCUAAAAGGCUUCGUAGGCACCCUGCUUCUCUCUCAUAUCCUGAGCACUUCAGGGCAGUGCAUCAGCCCUGCGGCACAGGGAAACGGCCCAGAACAGAGCUUGGUUUGAGCAGCCCCAUCUUCUGCAGGGAGACUGAGGAAACACCAGAAUAGGCAUGUGGCUAAGUGUCAGCAGGUCUUGCCCUCCAAAAUUCCCGGUGGGGAUUAUUUACACAUCUUUUUUUUCUGCAGGAGACCACUGGUUUCUCAACAGCUGAAGCCUUUGCUGCCCAGGUUGAAACUACUGUUAGAGGAUUUUCUUUGCUAAAUUUAGGGCAACUCACAUAAAAAAGGAAGCAGUCUAAGUUAGAUGUGAAUCAUCCUUCACACACUGAUCAACCUUCCUGUUCUCAUUUCUGUAUUUGAAUAAUUUUGUUAAGCUUGCAUUUAAAACCUUUCUAUAACGUGGCUUUUGGCUUGGCACAAAAUAGAAAUAAUUAUCCUGCUCUGGUAACAUCUAUAUUCCAUGAGUACUCCUCCUGCAAAUGUGCCAUGUAAUCUACAC
rnacentral:lncRNA from 13 species